rnacentral:pre_miRNA from 1 species
CUUGGUAAUCCAUACGCUUCAGACUUCGUGCUUCUUUGCAUACCCAUACUGUAUUAGGAUAUGGAAUGUAAAGAAGUAUGUAGUUUGGCCAUU